GCCAGAACUCCUAUUUGAGUGCAUGAUUUGAUGAAGAAUAGAGUGAAGCAGAGGAUGGGCACUGAGUUUCUCCAUUAAAGCCUUCAGUACUCCCAGCUUGUGAGGUCCAAGAAACCCAGGAUGUCGUGUCUUUACAGCAACAGGAGUGUCU